rnacentral:rRNA from 1 species
GUUGUGGUUUCGUUAGCGGAGCGGUCUGUGUCUCAAAAAGACGCGGGCAGUUCUGCUAAUUACAAUCUAGUGUGUGUGUUAACUCAUUCAUGCUAAGUAAACCUUGAAGAAAUAUUGACGCUUAAAAUUUGACUUAAGUCAAAGUUCUUUUUGCAUGGGAUUUUGGAAUAUGAGUGGUGGAGUAAAAUCCGCUGCUAAUGACAUUCGAGGAUGAAAGAGGAAGUUAAUAUUUGUGAGUCAGAGGUGAAAUUCUUGGAUUUCACAAAGAUUAACUAAUGCGAAGGCAUUCUUCAAUUGCUUUCCUGUCAAUCAAGAACGAAAGUAAGGGGAUCGAAGACGAUCAGAUACCGUCGUAGUCUUUACAGUAAAUUUUGCCGACAAAGGAAACGGGAAAGACCUAGAAUGCGCCGGGCAACUGGUACAUUUAAUAUCCUCCUGUUUUCUCCCACGAAAGUUUAAGUCUUUGGGUUCUGGGGGGAGUAUGUUCGCAAGGCCGAAACUUAAAGGAAUUGACGGAAAGGCACCACCAGGCGUGGAGCCUGCGGCUUAAUUUGACCCAACACGGGAAAACUUACCAGGUCCAAACAGCGUGAGGAUUGACAGAUUGAGAGCUCUUUCAUGAUUCGUUGGGUGGUGGUGCAUGGCCGUUCUUAGUUGGUGGUGCGAGCUGUCUGGUUGAUUCCGUUAACGAACGAGACCUUUGUGAGAUAAUAGUUGAAUCAAGAUAUCGCGUCAAGGCUGGAGCUCACGUAUUGGGGAAGGAUCCGUUCCUCCCUUUACUCUGGGUUUCAGUUGCAAUCUAGAUUACAACUUCUUUCUCAGACAAAUGAAAAAAAUUCAUUGGAAGUUGGAGGCAAAAACAGGUCUGUGAUGCCCUUCGAUGUUCUGGGCUGCACGCGCGCUACAAUGACAAAGUCAACAAGUUUUUUCCUUGCUUGAAAGGGCUGGGUAAUCUCUAAAACUUUGUCGUAAUAAGGAUCGCUGAUUGAAACUAUUCGGCGUGAAUCAGGAAUGCCUUGUAAUUAUAAGUCAUCAGCUUAUAGUGAAUACGUCCCUGCCUUUUGUACACACCGCCCGUCGCUCCUACCAAUUGGUAUAAACGGUGAAAAGUUCGGAGACAACUUUCGUUCAGAGUCAAAUCUGAUGUUAGAUAUCAAAGUUCUUUAAAUCUUUUGUACUAGAGGAAGGAGAAGUCGUAACAAGGUUUCCGUAGGUGAACCUGCGGAAG